rnacentral:rRNA from 1 species
CCUACGGGUGGCAGCAGUGGGGGAUAUUGGUCAAUGGGGGAAACCCUGAACCAGCAACGCCGCGUGAGGGAAGACGGCCUUCGGGUUGUAAACCUAAGUGAUCAGGGAUGACACAAAUGACAGUACCUGAAAAGCAAGCUCCGGCUAACUACGUGCCAGCAGCCGGGGUAAUACGUAGGGAGCAAGCGUUGUCCGGAUUUACUGGGUGUAAAGGGUGCGUAGGCGGGAACACAAGUCAGGCGUGAAAUACCGGGGCUCAACUCCGGGGCUGCGCUUGAAACUGUGUUUCUUGAGUGAAGUAGAGGCAGGCGGAAUUCCUAGUGUAGCGGUGGAAUGCGUAGAUAUUAGGAGGAACACCAGUGGCGAAGGCGGCCUGCUGGGCUUUAACUGACGCUGAUGCACGAAAGCAUGGGGAGCAAACAGGAUUAGAUACCCCAGUAGUC